CACGUCAGCGCGACUUGCUGACGUGGAAGAAAAUCACGUCCUUGAGGAAGCGAUUUCCUUCCACGUCAGCGCGACCUGCUGACGUGG
rfam:Gossypium hirsutum cultivar TM-1 chromosome 18, whole genome shotgun sequence